GAGAAGUGUUCAGAAGGCACGAGAUGUUUUUCCGGUUCAUUGUUUCUUAAAAUUUAAUAAGGCGACUUUAGCGUUGCAGAAGGGGAGGGGAAAAGAACAUUUACAUGAUAUAUUCAUUUAUGCUUGGGUGAAAUAUUUUUGUUUACUUGAAUGGUUAAUUUUUAUCUUUUACCUUUGAAGAGGUUUGGACUCGCAUCAUGCAAGUCUUAGGCCACGUUUGGUAUGGCUUACGCCGGCUUCGGCUUCGGCUCUGUGCAGCACUGUAGCGCAUCGUUGCGCAUGCUAAGAACAUUUACAUGAUAUAUUCAUUUAUGCUUGGGUGAAAUAUUUUUGUUUACUUGAAUGGUUAAUUUUUAUCUUUUACUUUUGACGAGGUUUGGACUCACAUCAUGCAAGUAUUAGGCCUUGUUUUGUAUGGCUU
rnacentral:lncRNA from 1 species